UUGGGGGGAGGAGGAGUGGAGUGAUGAGGCAAAGUGGUGGAGAUUUGGUGUGAGACUACAACACCUGCUUACUGGGAACCUGGCUCCAGCCAAGUCUCCGUUCAACCUUUGGUAAAAGAAAAUUCAAUUUUGAAUGCACUCCUGAAAAGGCUGAACAGUAUCAG